rnacentral:rRNA from 1 species
UACAGAGGUCUCAAGCGUUGUUCGGAUUCAUUGGGCGUAAAGGGCGCGUAGGCGGCGGGGUAAGUCGGGUGUGAAAUCUCAGAGCUCAACUCUGAAAUGGCACUUGAUACUGCUCUGCUAGAGGACUGGAGAGGAGAUUGGAAUUCACGGUGUAGCAGUGAAAUGCGUAGAUAUCGUGAGGAAGACCGGUGGCGAAGGCGGCGUUCUGGACUGUUUCUGACACUGAAAAACGAAAGCCAGGGGAGCAAACGGG